GUGUGCUAUGAAGAUUGACAUCUAGUCAGCCAAUGAAACUGAUGGAGGGCGGACUCUCAUGGCAUCUGACCAAUGGGAGUCAUGAGACUGGGAAUGAGUUUUGCGUCCUGGGCGGUGGGACUUGAGGCCAGGGUCUGAAUGGAAUGGAGGAGGGGCUAGUGGAGGGGGCGUGUCCCAGUGCAAGGAUAGGCGGGAUCAGACAAGGGCCGGGCGUUAGAAGGGGCGUUACUGGAAAGCCUAUCUUCAGAGCAGGGUCUGGCCGGCGGGCUGGGUGGUUAGGUCAGGUUCUGCCCCUGCUAGUUGAUAGAAGUAAUUUUGGGGAAUCUGAAGAUGUAAUUCAACAGCAGAAAGCUUGCUAAACAUGUGUGAGACCAAAGCUUUCAUCAAAUACCACAAAAAGGCACACACAGUUGCUGUGAGUUCAUGAGCGCAGGAGUCUUGUCCUGUCCAGAAGACGCUGCUAUACUCUGGAUUUUCCUGACCUUUGGCCCUUACAUCAAUCCUGAGUUGGUCCCUGAGUUUGAGGAGGAGGAGGAGGUGAGCCUAGUCCCAUUAUUCCGCUAAAUGGACAUAGUAUCAGACGGCCUCUAAAUUUGUAUUUUUCUACUCAUAGAUUUAGUAUAGCUCUCAGGUCUCACCAGAGAAGGUCCUUUGUACAUGAAUGAAGAAACAAUGGGUCAAAGUGCAAAGGAUAAGUGUUUGUGGGGUGCUCGUCCAUGAAUGCUGACCAUUUUCUAGUCCUGCUUUGUUACCUGAAACUUCUUCCUUAGCACGCACUCCAGGAAACAUUCCCAGAAACCACAUCCCUGAAUUGUUUCAUGUUAGUGCUGCUUCUAAGCACCCUGCUUCUUUGUAUUUCCUGUAUAUUUUAGACAUCUAUUUGUGUGCAUGUGCACAGCAUGUUCUGUGUGUGCACAGUGUGUGUGUGUAUGUAGGUC